rnacentral:rRNA from 1 species
GACGAACGCUGGCGGCGUGCCUAAUACAUGCAAGUAGAACGCUGAAGGAGGAGCUUGCUCUUCUGGAUGAGUUGCGAACGGGUGAGUAACGCGUAGGUAGCCUGCCUGGUAGCGGGGGAUAACUAUUGGAAACGAUAGCUAAUACCGCAUAAUAGUAGAUGUUGCAUGAUAUUUACUUAAAAGGUGCAAUUGCACCACUACCAGAUGGACCUGCGUUGUAUUAGCUAGUUGGUGGGGUAACGGCUCACCAAGGCGACGAUACAUAGCCGACCUGAGAGGGUGAUCGGCCACACUGGGACUGAGACACGGCCCAGACUCCUACGGGAGGCAGCAGUAGGGAAUCUUCGGCAAUGGACGAAAGGCUGACCGAGCAACGCCGCGUGAGUGAAGAAGGUUUUCGGAUCGUAAAGCUCUGUUGUAAGAGAAGAACGAGUGUGAGAGUGGAAAGUUCACACUGUGACGGUAUCUUACCAGAAAGGGACGGCUAACUACGUG